CGUAUAUUAAAGUUGUUGCAGUUAAAAAGCUCGUAGUUGGAUUUGUGGUUGCGCCUGUGGUCCGUAUUGUUCGGUUCUAUGGGCGCGACCAUCCUUGGGUGGAACCUGUGUGGCAUUAGGUUGUCGUGCAGGGGAUGCCCAUCGUUUACUGUGAAAAAAUUAGAGUGUUCAAAGCAGGCUUAUGCCGUUGAAUAUAUUAGCAUGGAAUAAUGAGAUAGGACCUUGGUACUAUUUUGUUGGUUUGCGCACCGAGGUAAUGAUUAAUAGGGACAGUUGGGGG
rnacentral:rRNA from 1 species